GACGAACCGAGCGAACGUUGUUCGGAAUCACUGGGCUUAAAGGGCGCGUAGGCGGGCUGUCAAGUCAGGGGUGAAAUCCCGCGGCUCAACCGUGGAACUGCCUCAGAUACUGACGGUCUCGAGGGAGGUAGAGGCCAGCGGAACUGAUGGUGGAGCGGUGAAAUGCGUUGAUAUCAUCAGGAACUCCGGUGGCGAAGGCGGCUCGCUGGACCUCUUCUGACGCUGAGGCGCGAAAGCCAGGGGAGCAAACGGG
rnacentral:rRNA from 1 species